UUUUGGGUCUCCUACUCUCGGGUUUCUUCCAAAUUUGAGAGCAAUUCUCAACCAUUUCCUUUCAAACUUGUUCCUCUAGUUUCUAAACAAUAUUACCCACAAGUGCUAUGAAAGAAUAGGGUUCGGAAAGUGCCUAGAAACCAUUCCCCCAAUCCAAUCCGCCAUUAAAGAGCUUCAAGGAAAACUCAAAAUUCAAAUCAAAGGAUACACAAAAUUCGUUGAGCAAGAACAAUCUCAAUAAGUUUCUGCACCUUCAAGGAAUGUUUUCAUUGAAGACCACGAAGAGAAAUAACCUCAGAAACGAUUCCAAUUGAAGAAAAUUCAUUUCGUGUUCAAAUUGUGGGAAUCAAGAGCUGAAACGUCUAAGAACAAGAUACCUAAGAGAUUGAAAAUCGGAGGUGUCAUGUAACUUGCAGACCGAGAGUGAUUUCUCAAAUUAAGGUCCCACACUCAAAGUUGUUCCUCGAAACCAAUUUCUUAAGCUUGAGGAAAGAAUAAGGAAGAAGUUCCAUGAAGAAAUUGAGCCUUGAAAACCCUUAGAAACGGCUACCCAAUAAGAAAUCCUUUGUUUUUACUCCAGCGAGAAAUUAUAUUUUGGACGAACUUUGGAAGCGAAUAUCUAAGGCUACGAUCCACGAAAAGGUAUGAAAUCAAUCCAUAGCUCUUCCUUGUAAUACCCUCUUUAAGUUUCAUGAAGAACUCGAGGGGAGAAACGGCAUGAUCGGAGCUGGGGAGGGCGAGUUUCAGACGGCGGCGCGAAAGAUCACGCACGUCUUCUUCCCAUCGGGAGGAAGAAGACGAUGACAUGGCCGGUUUAAGUGAAGAUAGAAAUAAAUAAAGAAAUAAAAA